GUUCUGUAGGAGAAACAGGUGACUUUCUCCCAAGAACCAGGCUAUACAACCCUAGUUGUGCACAGGGUAGAGACCCCUGGACAGACACCCCUGUCUGUCCAUUCAUCUUCCCUAAACCAUUCAUCUUCCCUGAAGCAGUCUGAGAAGGAAUGCGGAAGGAAAUACAGGAGAUGACCCAGUUAGGAGUCAUUGAGCCCUCUGACAGCCCGUGGGCCUCGCCUGUAGUCCUG